rnacentral:rRNA from 1 species
AUGAAGAACGCGACGCCGGCUGAGCCUGAGGGCUGCAAGCGAUGGGCCCCGGCGAUCAACGCGGUGGUCGUUGCCUUCGUGCUGAUUGUGCCACCUCUCUUCCUUCUCCUUGGCGGCCGCAAUGGCGAGAGGCCAGCGGUCUGGAUCAAGACGGCCGUGGCCGGCUUACGGCGAGGUUGUCCUGCCGAAGUAUCCUUACUGAACGAGAAUGCAGGAGCACACGCUGACAAGCUUCUUGGCGGGCUCUUGGUCGAAGGCUUCGACCAAGAAUCCUGCCGCAGCCGGUACCAGUCCGCCGCGUACCGUCGGAACACCGGCAGGCAACCUUCACAGCACCUCGUCUCCAAAUUGCGGAGCCACGAAGCCCUGCAAAGGCGGUGCGGCCCGGGCACCGCCGCCUACACCAACGCCCUGGAGCAGCUCAAGUCUGGCAAGAGCGUCGCGUCACCGGAGUGCAGGUACCUGGUCUCCAUCUCGUACCGCGGCCUCGGCAACCGGAUCAUCGCCGCCGCGUCGGCGUUCCUGUACGCGGUGCUCACCGACCGCGUCUUCCUCGUCGACCCCAGCAACGGGAUGGACGAGCUGUUCUGCGAGCCCUUCCCCAACACGACGUGGCUGCUACCUCCGGGCUUCCCGCUUGUCAGCUAUCAGGGCUUUUAUCUCUCCACGCCGGAGCGGUAUGGGAGGAUGCGAGAGGACGGUGUGCUCAGAACCGGUGAGGUAAACGGGUCCGCCGCCGCAGAGCUGCCGGCCUUCGCGUACAUCCACCUCGACCACAACCAGACGGACCACGACAAGCUUUUUUUCUGCGAUGACGACCAGCGGCUCAUGUCCAACAUCCAGUGGCUGGUGAUGAGGACGGACGGCUACAUCGCGCCGGGCCUGUUCCUCGUGAGGGCGUUUCAGGGGAAGCUCGACGCCUUGUUCCCGGAGCGCGACGCCGUGUUCCACCACCUCGGCCGGUACCUGUUCCAUCCGACUAACCGCGUCUGGGGCCUCAUCACGCGGUACUACGACGCGCACUUCGCGCGGGCACGGCGCGUGGUCGGCAUCCAGGUGCGCGUCUUCCCGUGGCAGGCUGACUCGCCGGAGCUCCUGGAGCAGAUCAAGACGUGCACGCAGAACCAGAAGCUGCUCCCGGCGGUGCUUGGUGAGGAAGACGACGAGCCGGCGGCCGCGCCCGGUGGCGCGGCCAAACCCACUGCUGUUCUGAUCACCUCUCUCAAGGCUUGGUACUACGACAAGAUGAAGGGGGCGUACUGGGAGCGCGCGACGGCGAACGGCGAGGUGGUGGUGGUGGACCAGCCGAGCCACGAGGAGACCCAGCGCUACCAUGUGAGGUCGCACGAACGCAAGGCCUGGGCAGAGGUGUACCUGCUGAGCACGGCGGAUACGCUGGUCACCACCGCCGAGUCGACGUUCGGGUACGUGGCGCAGGGGCUCGGCGGAAUGAGGCCGUGGGUGCUGAGGAUGGGGAUGAUCAACACGACCGUGAGCUGGCCGUGCAGCAGGGACAUGUCCAUGGAGCCCUGCUACCACGUCCCGCCGGUGUACGACUGCAAGCGACGCCAAGAUGCCGGCAAGAUCGUGCCGCAUGUGCGUCACUGCAAGGACUGGCCCACGGGGUUGAAGCUAGUUGAUCCAAAGGAUUAG